GCCGGGCGUAGUGACGUGUGCCUGUAGCCCCAGCUACUCAGGGGGCUGAGGUGGUUUGUAGUGUGCUAUGCUGAUUGGGUGUCCACACUAAGUUCAGCAUCAACAUGGUGACCUCCCGGGAGCGGGGGACCACCAGGUUGCCUAAGGAGGGGUGAACUGGCCCAGGUUGGAAAUGGAGCAAGUCAAAACUCCCGUACUGAUCAGUAGUGUGACUGCACCUGUGAAUAGCCACUGCACUCCAGCCUGAGCAACAC
ensembl:misc_RNA Metazoa_SRP Metazoan signal recognition particle RNA